rnacentral:lncRNA from 1 species
CUAACUCUUUGUGCACAUUCCUGCAUGUUCUAUAAAAGAUCUGCCCUUCCUGAUCCACUCUUCUGUUCCCAGGUUAUCUGACUGCGCUGAUUGUAGCUCUUAGUGCCCUGCUGGUGUGUCUGACACUUCAGAGGAUCUGUUUAGCCCGAGGACGAUGUGAACGACCCUGUAAGAAAGGUGAUGGUUUGAUUUUCUCCAUGCUUCUGGACGUGUUAAGCUUGCUGGUUCAGGAAGAUGUCCUGGACACUCUCAAAGAGUACUCUCGGAAAGUUGAAGCUGUGAUUUUGUCCAUGCUUAUGUUCGUGUUGAGCUUGCUGUAUCUGGUCAGUGACCUGGACACUCUCAGAGGGGGACCUGGACUCAUGUGUGAAGUCCUGUUUCUCUGGAUUCUGGCUGUUGGGACAGUCUUUACAGAGGAAGAUGAAGAUAAAGAUGUAGAUGAUGUUUUAAAGAGUAUCUUCUACUUGGGGAUCCUUGGAUUGCCUUUAGUGAAUUCCACUGCACUCGCAACAGAUUUAAUUCUGAAAGCAACUAAAGGCUACCGAGCUGUGAAAGAUCUUCGCUUGGUGGUCGUGCCCUGUGAAUCCUUCUUUGUGAUCUGCUGUGCUGUUCGUCUGAUGUAUAAUUACUAUAAGAAAAACAAGGAUAAGAAUAACAAACCUGAGACAGAGAGAAAAUCAUCAACAUUACAGACAUCGAAAAACCAGGAGGCUUGUGGCUGCAUUAAAGAACAAAAGGAAUAA